CAACAUAAUUAUCUUUAUUUUGUCUCCGCAGUCAUACAUGCAUCUUUUUUUUUAUGCAAAGUGGUGGUUGACAUUCAUAACUGAUUU